GGAGGGUGCAAGCGUUGUUCGGAAUUAUUGGGCGUAAAGCGCGUGUAGGCGGUUUGUUAAGUCUGGUGUGAAAGCCCUAGGCUCAACCUGGGAAGUGCAUUGGAUACUGGCAAACUUGAGUACGGGAGAGGAUAGUGGAAUUUCGAGUGUAGGGGUGAAAUCCGUAGAUAUUCGAAGGAACACCGGUGGCGAAGGCGGCUAUCUGGACCGAUACUGACGCUGAGACGCGAAAGCGUGGGGAGCAAACAGGAUUAGAUACCCUGGUAGUCCACGCCGUAAACGAUGGGUACUAGGUGUUGCGGGUAUUGACCCCUGCAGUGCCGAAGCUAACGCAUUAAGUACCCCGCCUGGGGAGUACGGUCGCAAGACUA
rnacentral:rRNA from 1 species